rnacentral:rRNA from 1 species
UACGUAGGGGGCGAGCGUUGUCCGGAAUCAUUGGGCGUAAAGCGCGUGUAGGCGGCUCGGUAAGUCUGCUGUGAAAGUCCAGGGCUCAACCCUGGAAUGCCGGUGGAUACUGUCGGGCUAGAAUCCGGAAGAGGCGGGUGGAAUUCCUGGUGUAGCGGUGGAAUGCGCAGAUAUCAGGAGGAACGACCGGUGGCGAAAGCGGGCU